GUUUCUGCUGUUGGGACCUUGUUCCAGUUCUCAACCACUAUUGCUGUCCUUCUGAAGUUGGUGCUCCUGGCUGUGGGCAAACAUGGUUCCUGCUCACCUGCAGCCUUCUUCCUGCCCUGUGCUGUGUGUGUCCAGCAUCUGGCUGCUCAUCAAACAGGACUGGGAGCAACACCGUCCCAAAUGGAAUCUGCUCCGUGACUCACGAAUCAAAGUGGAACGAAGCGCUCAGAAGCAGGAUAGCAGCGCUGCCACCAACUGCAGUGCCUCCCCCUGGCUCCCUUCUGUCCCACAUUGGGUGGCCCAGCAUGGUAUGCAGAAGCAGUGCUCCAACAGGAAGGGGAGUAGCUGUGUGGGGACAUAAAGGAGAGCAGCAGUGAUGGCUGUACGCGUGCAGAUGUGUGCAGUGAUGUGCCUGCUGCGUGCAGAGGCACAAACAGGGUGUUUUAAAUCCUCCCUGUCGCCUGGACAUUAAAAAGCUUUAAAAAAAGGAAGAUGAAAAUGAAUGCUUCUGCGGUUUCCUCCGCACUCAUUGAAUUUCUGUCCAUAGCGUUUACAGACUUUAAGAGGAGCCUGCAUAAUUACCUUUUCUCGUGAUGUUUUUUUUUUUCUCCUC